GACGAACGCUGGCGGCGUGCUUAACACAUGCAAGUCGAACGGUGAAGGGACCGGUUUUUGCUGGUUCUGGAUGAGUGGCGAACGGGUGAGUAACACGUGAGUAACCUGCCCCCUUCUUCUGGAUAACCGCAUGAAAGUGUGGCUAAUACGGGAUAUUCUGCGCCUGCUGCAUGGUGGGUGUGGGAAAGAUAUUGUUUCGGUGGGGGAUGGGCUCGCGGCCUAUCAGCUUGUUGGUGGGGUGAUGGCCUACCAAGGCGGUGACGGGUAGCCGGCCUGAGAGGGUGGACGGUCACACUGGGACUGAGACACGGCCCAGACUCCUACGGGAGGCAGCAGUGGGGAAUAUUGCACAAUGGGCGCAAGCCUGAUGCAGCGACGCCGCGUGAGGGAUGGAGGCCUUCGGGUUGUAAACCUCUUUCGCCAGUGAAGCAGGCCUGUCACUUUUGUGGGUGGGUUGACGGUAGCUGGAUAAGAAGCGCCGGCUAACUACGUG
rnacentral:rRNA from 1 species